UUCAUAUUGUCAAGUACGGACUUUUUCUGAACUAUGUUUUCAAGGGAAUCUUGUUUUCCUCUCAUAUUCUCAGAAAAAUGCCAACAGACAAUUGCCUGCAGAAUGACAAAUGGCUCACAUGGCUUGUUGCUCCGCUUUGUUGCUUGGAUCUGAGUGCCCUGUGAUCUGAGGUUUAUGUCUCUUGGCUGCCUCCAUGUCUCACUGUGGUUUUAUAUCCCCUGGCUUUUUGGCAGAAACAAAACUUUUAGAUUUGUCCUCAACUGAAAAUGUUUCAGCUGUGUGUGCAGGCGUCUUCAUGCUAUAGAAGAAGGAAUGGAACUGUGAAUGGUGGGAAAGGCUGAAGGAAGUAAUGGAGACCACGAUGCAGAAGUAGGUGCUCUUGCAAAGCAGUCCCGGGACAGAUAAAGGAAGCAAAGGCAGAGAACCCCAACGCCUUCCCCAGCUCAGCCACUAGUUGGCUGUGUGAUCUCAGACAAGCCAAGCUCCAUCUCUGAGAUAUAGCUGCUUCAUUUGCAAAGUAAGAAGGUAGACGUGCAUGAUCAGCUGAAGAUGCUUCCUGCCUCAAUCCAGGACACCUGCGGCUCCAGGUCAGAGAUGCACCUGCUAGUCCUGCCUCUACAGGACCCAACCCAUCAGUUCCUAGCUUGUCCUUCUGGUGAGAAUUGAGCACACUAUACUGUGGACAUAAAGACAAGUCAAGGGAACUAGUCAGCCCUGGCUGUUGGAGAACAGUCCUUGGGAUACUCACCAGGGUCUCCACCAUGUUGGAUUUGUUGUUACGCAGUGUUUUCACGAUGUGGAACACGUCAAUGAUGUUUUGCUGCUGGAUCAUCUCACACACACUGCAGAUGGCACAGAAGGUUCCACUACGGCCUCCCCCAUUUCUAAACACAGAGCAAAGAGGAUAAUACUCAAAGGACUGCCCGUGUGGAAAUUCUGGAUCAGCCAGCUUGGGGUAGCUGUGAAGAUGAGUAGCAUCCUAGAUAUGGGAUACUGCAUGUCAAAAUACAGAGAUCUGUGGGUUGCUCCGAUGAGCUGAAUGACCCAGAAGAUAAAAGAGGAAGGUUGAGAUCACUGUAGAAGCAGUGAGAAACCAGCAAGAAACUGAGCUCGGCUCCCUGGCUCACAUAGACAUGGAACAGAGAUCACAUCUGUGAGUGGAGGAGCCAGACUUUUCAUAUAAGCACAUGUAAAACUUUUGAAGUUGGCUGAUCCAAGAAUAGAUUCAAAUUCUUCAGCCAAGAGUCUAGACCAACUGACUUUUUCCACUUCAUUGCCUAGUUGACCCUUUGGGCCCGGAGCUCACGCACGCAGUUGAAGAUGUCCACCACCCCUUCAUUCUCGGCCAUGUCAAGCAUGGUGUCAAUGGCAAUGAAGCAGCCAGUCCGCCCAGCCCCAGCACUGGAAGAGAGCAAAUGGGUUGACGGAUGGAAGCAAAGAAGGAGAGGAGAGAGAACAGAGGGGAGAUGAAUGACAGGACAGAAACGAGAGUCCUCUGAGCUGUCCCCAAGACAGAGAGUGGUUGGUGGAGCACCACGUUCAAAGGCCGGCAUCUGGCUCCACCUGCAGCUGUUUUCGCAGGAUCGUGAAGCAAGAGUGUCAUGAAACUGGAGCAGCUGACCGUCCGGAGACCCUUGUCAGGGAUCAAGUUUCUUGAUACAUACUUACUUGAUUUCUGGUCACUAGUGGCUUCUUUAGGAGAAUCUCAGACCAAGUAUAAAAUGGUAGGGGAACUCAACGAGACUCUAUGGGCCUUGGCCAGCCCUUUCUAGAUCAGUGCUGGGCUCUGAAACAUCAGUGCUGACCAAGAGGCACGUAAGACAUGUGCCUUACACAUGUGCAGUUUUGGAUGGGAAGGCCGGGCAGCCUGUCAAGGAGGCCCCCUUCCGCUGCGUUUUCACAUCUUGCCUUUCUCAUGGAAACAAGUGUCUUUGUCUAACAAUGUAGAUGUCAAAAGACACACAAAGAGGAAGAGAGAUGGAACAAGACAAAAAAGCAAUAUUGGCUCAUGGUAAAUCCAAGGGGCACAGGCCAGUGCGGACCACUACCUACAACAAUUUGGAAAGUACACCCAUUGGAAGCAGAGUCUUCAUUCAUGAGAAACUUUCAUGGUUUGAAUGAAGUCUGACUUAAGUUUGCUUCAGAACCUACUCCCCAAAAUCCAGAUGCGGGGACUCAAGAGACUUGGCCUCUGUGUCUGGGAGGGAGUAUAGGGGGGGUCACUCGUGUUUUUUUCUUCAAUGUUCAUAUUCACCAUGCUUUAGUAUAAAGAAUCAGCCCAAUUUGGUUCCAAAUUUUGGAACAACUAUCAAUCAAUCAGCGGUGACCAAGUUGCCUAGUGUCCGUUUGUUUGUUAGCUUCAGAUUUCUGAUGCUUUUAACAUACCUCCCUGCAGGGUCCUUGUGAGGACAAAGCUGUGUUUAUUUCAUUUCAGCAUCACAUAGUAAUUGAACACAGGAUAUUUGAAAAGACCCCCUAGGAUUAAAUCCUGGCUCUAUUACUUAUUAGCUGCAUGACCUCGGGCAAAUGACUUAACCUCUCUGGGUUUCAAUACUCAUCUAUAAAAUGAUGUUGAUAAUAAUUAAAAUACUCACUCAUCUAUAAAAUGAUGUUGAUAAUAAUUAAUAGAUCCACCUCACAGCAUUAAUAGCACAAUAUGUAUAAAUUGGAUGAAAUUACAAUUAAAAUGCAUAAUGCAUACAAAUUGCUUUGUGCCUGGAUACAUAGCCAUUUUUUAUUGAGAAAUUAUUACUAUUAUAUUCAACAAAUAUUUAUUGAAAAUCUAAGAUGCAGUAGAUGCUGGUAUUAGGAGUGGGAAUAUGAAAACAAACAAACAUUGUUCCUGUCCUGAAGGAUUAAUAAAUAAUCUGGGGAGGGGGAGAAAGAAAACAUUAAGAGGAGGCAGAGAAUAAUGAUAUAUUAGAGUGCUUACUAUAUGUCAGGCAUUCUCUCUUAGGCACUUAGCCAACCCAUUUGGUAAUAAUUUUCAGAAUGGCCCCAGGAGUGGGUACCACUCUGCUCAGAUGCAUUAAGAUGACCUGCUAAGGAGACACAUACCGGCGUAGAGCCAUCAUGCGCCGAAGUCCUGAUGAUAAACAAACAUUUGCCAUUGUCUUUCUUUCUUUCUCCCUAACCCUUGAUCUGGGUGCUCUUUGGGAUAUAGAGAUGGGGGGCAUUAAUGAUCCAUUGCCCUUUGAUUGCUAUGAGAUAUAAAGCAAAGCAGAAAAUACAUGCAAAACAUUUAGAGAGUCCAGGAUUACCUCCUCAUCCUCACUUGCCUUAUCUGUGAAAUGGGGUUGUGUAGCUACUAUUGCUGGGAAG
rnacentral:lncRNA from 10 species